GGUGGCUCAGUGGUAGAGUGCUUGCCUUGCAUGCAUGAGAUUCUGGGUUCAAUUCCUCAGCACCA
rnacentral:tRNA from 1 species